AGAAAUUGCAUUAAAAGUAGAACAGAGUGGAACGUCUGACGCAACCAUAGCUGCUGCCGUCGUUGCUGUAAUUCUAUCAUUCGUUAUCAUAUUAAUGAUUUCUAUUUUCAUCUUAAUACCGUUUUGUAAGUAUUACUGCUUAGUCUUCUCAGUAUAUUUUUAUUUUCAUUUUGAACAUGUAAUAGUUUUUGAUAAUGUCUGAUUAGUUGAGAUAGCUUUUAUAUUUCAUGACACAUCAUGUUGAACAUUAUUUUAACAAAUAAACAUACAUUCAUGCAAUAUGUAUUUCUUAAUGUCUUUAGUAAAUGAAAUUCAACGAUAACAACUUCACUUCAAUAAUUCUUUACAUACAUAUUUUUCCUCGAGAGUGAAUUUUCUUGGAGAAAUUAAAAUGCUAUAAAGAUAAAUACUUAUAUGCAUGCAAUUACAUAUUGAAAUAUUUGUUUCAGAUCGCCAGCGUCAGAACAAAGACAGGUAAAUAAUAUGUUUACACCGUAACACUUCGUUCCCGUUUGAAGAAAAACUAUUUAAAUCGAUUUUUUGAUGGAUCAAUUAAAUAUCUUUCCACAAGAGUUAUGUUAUAGUAAAAUCGGUUUCACAUUGAUGAUAACUUUUCUAAACGGGAUAAAUGAAUGGUUCUUCUUUCAUUGGCAAUUCUACCACAUCUGAAUACGUUUGUAUAUUACAGCUAGUAACUUUGUCAAAAUGUAUUGAGGUGCACAAUGUGUAGUAUUUCAGACAUGGAACGACGACAAACCCAUGCUAUACAUCUUUUAUGUUGUAGUUCUUUCAUAGGGUACUUUGUACGUAAAGUUUGUUUUUACAUAUUAUAUGUGUAAGUUAUGAACUAAACGAAUCAAACAAUACGAAAAUGUACUGCUGUUAAUUGUGUCCAAUAACAAAUAAAUAUGAACAGAUUUGGAAAACUAUUUACCAGGGCAAUAGCCUUUAAAACUGUUGACGGUUUGAAAUAAUCUUUAGAAAGGGAAAAGGAAAACAUAGGGUAUGCGGCCAUUCAUUAUCAUACAUCGAAAAUAUACAGACAACGCCAUCACUAAAAAGAAAAACACUGACAACGCCAUCACUAAAAAGAAAAAGACAUACAGACAACAACAGUACACAAAACAGAAUGAAAACUAUGAAUCAGUUGUUAGAAUGAAAUAAAUAAGUAUACCUAUAUAUUUAAAGUUUGAAGAACCAAAACCAGGGGUAUCUGAAGCCAGCACGGGAUGCUUCUGUUAGAUCGGCAAGAGACAAUGUUUAUCAGCUGCCGUUAAACCAACAAUAUGAAUCUAUUCGUCAGAGUGCUGUUGGUAAUUAUUUUCUACUUCAUUUUAUUUGAUUUUGUUUGAAAUUUGAAGGUUAAUACGAAUCAAAACACAAGACGAUAUAUUUGAAAGACACGGUAUAGCAAACAUACGAAAACAAGUCUUAACAUAGUUUCUCUCCAUUUUUGUUUUAACUCAUACGUGACUUGUGAAAAGAAGCAAAUUCAUCUCAAAGUGAAUUAUGAUUUGCAAUUGUUCCGUUUUUUUUUUAAAUCUGUAAACACCUUUGGAAAACAUUACGAUGCAAUAUAAGCUGAUGGUAAAAAAUUCAGAAUAGAAAUAUGGAAUGUGUUAAGGAGACAAUUAAUAGCCCGACCAAGAGCAUAAACAGCCAAAUGAUACCAAUAUGUUUUAAACAGGGAGCAGGCUUCUCAAAAAAUAUAAGAUUAAUGACAUAAUAAUAUAAUUCUGCUUCCGCAAACAGUCUUUAGACCCAAAUGCCAGCUUGCAGAUAAUACAAUAGUAGAAGACAAAUCAUAAUGGAGAAUACUAACAAACAAAAGAACUGAACCAAAAGAACAAAAUGUCAAAGUAAAACCUGCCAGAAUAGUUUUUUUUUAAUAUAUUCUAGAAAAGGAUAUAUAUAUAUAUAUAUAUAUAUAGUUUAAACAACAAAUUUGUUAUGUGAAUACGCUUCUCUGUAAUUGUUUAUUUAUUUCAUUUUUUUGCAGUUGAAGUUAAUGUGAAUCCUUCAAGGUAAACAUAAAAGUCUUAAAACACGGCUAUCAUCAUUAGGAUAUUGAUAUAUAAGGAUUGAAAAGCUUUAAGCUGAAGAUAUGUAAUAGUCGCUCGUCGUUCACAAUGGAAUAUAUUGUUUUAUAAGUUAAAAGUCUUUCAAAUCGUUGUCCUUCCAUAGCUAUAAGUUUUUCCUUUAAAGCAGGAUGCAUGCCUUAUUUCUUGAAAUAAAAAAUAAAUAAAAUACAGAACUGCAAGAAAAAUUUAAAACAGAAAUCAAAAAUGAUAACAUCUGGCAUAUUCCUGACUUAACGGGCAUUUUCGUAUGAAGAGAAUGGUUGAUUGAACCUGGUUUAACAGCUAGCUAAACUUCUAACUUGUAUGCCUGUCACAUCAAAUGUCCUUAUAUUGACAACGAUGCAUUGACAAAACAAGCAAAAACAAUAGGUAAAAAUGUCAAAAAAUGGGGUACAGCAGUCAACAUUGUGUUAUCAUAUUAAUCAAUAUAAAAGAAACAAAUGUAACAAAGAAGCACAAUAAGCAUACAUCAAAUUUAACAACCCUAUUUUGCUUUUUUAUCAUACAAUUUUAAUGAUCUAUGAAAACUCCACCAAUAAAGGAUUGAAAGUUAUCGCCCAUUAUACAUGUUAAGUUAAUGAUAAACGAAUGCAACGCAACUAGCAUUGAUUAAUAAAGAAAUUCGUGAAGAAACAUUCAAAAUAUUAAGACAAAAUUAUGCACAAAACAUCCGCCUCAUCGAUGUCAGAUUCUUUAGUGGUGCUCGAAUGAACCUCCCCAAAUUCAAAAGUUUUUAAUUGCUAUGAACAGCAAUGUGAACGCACGAGAUACGUCUACAAGCAGUGUUAUUAGUCAAUAAACUCUUCAUAUAUACCAGGACUAAAUUUUGUAUAUACGCCAGACGCGCAUUUCGUCUACAAAAGACUCAUCAGUGACGCUCGAAUCCAAAACAGUUAAAAGGCCAAACAAAGUAUGAAGUUGAAGAGCAUUGCAGACCAAAAUUCCUUAAAGUUUUGCCAAAUUCAGCUAAAGUAAUCUAUGCCUGAGGUAGAAAAACCUUAGUAUUUCAAAAAUUCAAUAUUUUGUAAACAGUUAAUAUAUAAACGUAACCAUAUCAAUGAUAAUUCAUGUCAGCACAAAAAAGUGCUGACUACUUGGCUGGUGAUACCCUCGGGUAAAUAAAUCUCCACCAGCAGUGGCAUCGACCCAGUGGUUGUAAAUAAACUCAUCAUAGAUACCAGGACUAAAUUUUGUAUUUACGCCAGACCCGCGUUUCGUCUACAAAAAACUCAUCAGUGACGCUCGAAUCCAAAACAGUUAAAAGGCCAAAUAAAGUAUGAAGUUGAAGAGCAUUGAGGACCAAAAUUCCUUAAAGUUUGGCCAAAUUCAGUUAAGGUAAUCCAUGCCUGAGGUAGAAAAGCCUUAGUAUUUCAAAAAAUCAAUAUUUUGUAAACAGUUAAUUUAUAAAUGUAAUAAUUCAUGUCAGCACAAAAAGUGCUGACUACUGGGCUGGUGAUACCCUUGGGGAAAUUAAUCUCCACCAGCAGUAGUGGCAUCGACCCAGUGGUUGUAAAAAAACUCAUCAUAGAUACCAGGACUAAUUUUUGUAUAUAAGCCAGAUAUUAAAAUUGAGAAAGGAAAUGGUGAAUAUGUCAAAGCGACAACCACCCGACCAUAGAGCAAACAACAGCCGAAGGCAACCAAUGGGUCUUCAAUGUAGCGAGAAUUCCCGCACCCGUAGGUGUCCUUCAGCUGGCCCCUAAAAUAUGCAUAAUAGUACAGUGAUAAUGGACGUCAUACUAAACUCCGAAUUAUACACAAGAAACUAAAAUUUAAAAUCAUACAAGACUAACAAAGGCCAGAGGCUCCUGACUUGGGACAGGCGCAAAAUUGCGGCGGGGUUAAACAUGUUUAUGAGAUCUCAACCCUCCCCCUAUACCUCUAGCCAAUGUAGAAAAGUAAAAGAAUAACAAUACGCACAUUAAAAUUCAGUUCAAGAGAAGUCCGAGUCCUGAUGUCAAAAGAUGUACAAAAGAAAAUAAAUAAAAUGACAAUAAUACAUAAAUAACAACAGACUACUAGCAGUUAACUGACAUGCCAGCUCCAGACCUCAAUUAAACUGAUUGAAAGAUUAUGUCUUCAUCAUAUGAAUAUCAGGUACAAUCCCUCCCGUUAGGGGUUUAGUAUCAUACUAUCAUAAAAUAUAUGAGAAGAACAUAACCCGUGUCAUGCCAACAACUGUUUUUUUAGAAAUAAAUGUGUUUAGUUCCGAUGCAAAGACCCUAUCAGUGAAUCAAUGUUAAAGCCAAAAUAUGCAAUCUUUAAUGACCUGACAACAGUAUCGUAACUAUAUCCCCUUUUAAUAAGUCUAUUUAAAGGUUUUGUUAGUUUCUGAGGAGAAUACUGACAUUUUUGUGCUUUAUAAAGAAUAUUUCCAUAAAAUUUUGGAUGUGAAAUACCUGAACGUAUAAAAUGUCUGCAUGUUGAGUUAUAUUUACGAAUUAUUUCCUUAUACCGGUGAUAAAAUUUAGUAAAUGUUUUGACCAGUUUGUGAUAUCGAAAACCCUGGUGUAAUAAUUUUUCAGUAAUACAUAAAUUUCUCUCGCUAAAAUCUAAUACAUUGUUACAUACACGAGCUAUUUACCCCAAGUGAUUCAAAGACUCACUAUUACUAGAUUUAUUUCAUUUGACUGGGCGGGGUUUAAAAUGUUCGCUUAUUAAAGACCAGUUCAUCUAUAGACAGGAGUUUUUGGGAUGUCAAUGAAGCGUCCAGUAAAUCGUCCCAUAUACACUCAGUUCUUUUGUAUAUGCGUUUGGUGACACUAGUAGGUGAUCAGAAUUCAACAACAAUUAUAACGGCAAUCACCCUUAUCACACACAUCUUCAAUUAGACUUCCGUACGCAGAUUAAAACAUAAGAUCCGCCCAAUCAGCUACAAAACCUUGGUUAUACGUUUGUAACCAAUAUAUAUACAUAUUUGUAAACUUUUCAAUUUUGUAAUAGGCCAAUAUAUGAUGAACCUGAACCUGAAAUAGCACAAGGAACACAUUACAUUGAUG
rnacentral:lncRNA from 1 species